CGCAAAAUCUCGGACGCUCGGACUCGAACUGUUUGAUGUUCCAGGAUGUGGAAAUAUCGGCGCGACUCUGAGCUGAUCUGAACCGGGUCGGAACGCUCGCGGUUUGGAUCGGAUCUGAGGAGAAACUCCUGGGUUCGGAUCGGGUGUGGAAGUGCGUGGAAGCUUCAGCGACGGAUCAGCCGAGCGGUGAAGACUCGGAUCAGACCUGAACCUACAGGAUUAACACACAGCUCACACGAACCGAGACGAGCGACAGGCUGCAGCGGAACUCCAACCGCGCCAAGGCCGACGGAGGGAGUUUUUAAACGUCUGACGUCUUCAGAAGCCUCGAAUCCAGUCGGCACGGAGUAACAGCGACCGUCCAGUCGGACUUAAAACUGGUCGACGCUACUCAGCCGGACAUAAUAAAGCAUCACUGUGACCCAACAACAAUCAACCUGCCAAUCAGAACCAUAUCCCAGGAACUGGAACCAUCACUGUGCUUAAAGAACUACAUUUAGUCACGUUAGAAACCAGGUUCCAGUUAGAACUGUGAAUUGACACCCAGUAAAAUUGUCAAUCGACCAAUCAGAACCGUCUCUGUCUCCUGUGGACAACCAAAACGUCACUCUGAACCAUUGCUGUCCAUCUUAACCUGCCCAGUGACCCAUCAGUACUACAA